AGUGAACGCUGGCGGUAGGCCUAACACAUGCAAGUCGAACGGCAGCACAGUAAGAGCUUGCUCUUACGGGUGGCGAGUGGCGGACGGGUGAGGAAUACAUCGGAAUCUACUUUUUCGUGGGGAUAACGUAGUGAAACUUACGCUAAUACCGCAUACGACCUACGGGUGAAAGCAGGGGAUCUUCGGACCUUGCGCGAUUGAAUGAGCCGAUGUCGGAUUAGCUAGUUGGCGGGGUAAAGGCCCACCAAGGCGACGAUCCGUAGCUGGUCUGAGAGGAUGAUCAGCCACACUGGAACUGAGACACGGUCCAGACUCCUACGGGAGGCAGCAGUGGGGAAUAUUGGACAAUGGGCGCAAGCCUGAUCCAGCCAUACCGCGUGGGUGAAGAAGGCCUUCGGGUUGUAAAGCCCUUUUGUUGGGAAAGAAAAGCAGCAGGUUAAUACCCCGCUGUUCUGACGGUACCCAAAGAAUAAGCACCGGCUAACUUCGUG
rnacentral:rRNA from 1 species